AUCGAUUCCCGUACUAUCACUGAAGUUAAUCAACGUCGAGCCUGGUUAGUACCUAGAUGGGUGACCACUUGGAAAUACCAAGUGCUA